rnacentral:rRNA from 1 species
AGUCGAACGAUGAACUCCAGCUUGCUGGGGGGAUUAGUGGCGAACGGGUGAGUAACACGUGAGUAACCUGCCCUUGACUCUGGGAUAAGCGCUGGAAACGGCGUCUAAUACCGGAUACGAGCUUCAGCCGCAUGGCUAGGAGUUGGAAAGAAUUUUGGUCAAGGAUGGACUCGCGGCCUAUCAGUUAGUUGGUGAGGUAAUGGCUCACCAAGACGACGACGGGUAGCCGGCCUGAGAGGGUGACCGGCCACACUGGGACUGAGACACGGCCCAGACUCCUACGGGAGGCAGCAGUGGGGAAUAUUGCACAAUGGGCGAAAGCCUGAUGCAGCAACGCCGCGUGAGGGACGACGGCCUUCGGGUUGUAAACCUCUUUUAGUAGGGAAGAAGCGAAAGUGACGGUACCUGCAGAAAAAGCACCGGCUAACUACGUGCCAGCAGCCGCGGUAAUACGUAGGGUGCAAGCGUUGUCCGGAAUUAUUGGGCGUAAAGAGCUCGUAGGCGGUUUGUCGCGUCUGCUGUGAAAUCUGGGGGCUCAACCCCCAGCCUGCAGUGGGUACGGGCAGACUAGAGUGCGGUAGGGGAGAUUGGAAUUCCUGG